GACCCGAUGGCGAAGUGGUAAUCGCAUCCGUUUACUUUAUACGGAAGUCUCUUGUUCGAUUCAGGAUCGGGUCG